rnacentral:tRNA from 1 species
UUAGAAUGUGGCUAAACAGCAAAGCAUCUCCCUUACACCGAGAAAACACUCGUGCAAAUCGGGUCAUUCUAAGC